CCCUUUCUCUUUGUUCCGAAGAGUUUUGUUUGAAAAGUUGCAAUCUUAUCAGGCAGUGAGUCAGGAACUUUAAAGGCACUUCGGCAUUAGGAACGACUCAAAGAUUUCAUUGAUUUCAAAACCGUUUGCAGACGUUUCGUUUCAACACUUAGGAUUUUCUACUAGGAAAUUACACGAUUCUUUGAAGGACGCACUUUUCUUCAUCAAGACCCGAAAUAUUAAAACAGAAAUUUAUAAGGGAUGAAAAACUCAUAAGUUAGGGAAAGAGGAGAAAACAUUGAAUGAAGAAGUUGAAAUGUAACCAUUUUGCCUGUGAUUGAUCGUAUAUGAGAAACAAGAUGAUGCAUGAUUGGUUAAAAAGUUAUGAAGACAUGGUCGUUCCCGUAAGUAACUAAAUAAUGCUUCUUUAAACGUUGGAUUCUUUUAAUGAUGUGAUGCAACCACUUAUGAAUUGUCUUGUUGGUUUCUACAAUAUCGGGUUAUAUUGGAGGAAGAUAUAUGCUGAUGUAUGCUUAAGUAUUGCAGCUUGAACAUCGUGUGCAGAUUCUAAAUGCGGUUGGAUUAGUGCAUUAUGUAUGUGGUUGGAUUAGUGCAUUACGUAUGAGAAUUGGAUGAGUGUUGUUAUGUCUACUUUUCAGAAAGGGAGUGUGUUCACGAUGGAUUUUUAUGCCAUUAAGUUAAGGUAUAUGUUAUCGUCCGAUUCGCCUUCUCACAUGGGAUCUGACAAGAAGUAUGAAAUUUGUAAGUAGUUGAUCAUGAAGCAAAAGAAUUUUUUUCCAGAUUCUGUGACCAUUGGUUCCAGCCUUCCAGGUUGAGUAUAGAUUACCGUUGGUUCUGUAAUUGGGACAUUGGCUUAUGCAAGAAACACUUAAUUCUAGUGAAAUUUUUGUUAGGGACCUUUUGGUUACCGUUACUCAAGUAAAAUGAGAACAUCAUUAUGGGAACGUAUAAUGCCUUCAAGGGAAAAAGUUGCAAUGGAAAGACUUGGUUGAUAACUUGAAAUUGGAUACCACAGAUACACAUGGAGAUUUGAUAAAGGAUCAAAAUAUGCAUCACACGUAUGUCAACAAUUCGGGUUGAGUACUGUCUACGAAGGAUUUCAUAAUGAAGAAGACUUGAACGUUCUCUUUGAAAAGGAUUUCUCUUGCCACUCUCUGAAAGAAAAAAAUCAUGGGUCCAUCUCAUAAUAAUAAGACCUAAAAAAAGUAUAAGGUGAAAUAAGUUAAAUACUCCAAAGUCGAUCCAUAUAUAGGAGAACAGUUUGGGACUACCUAUUUGUGCAUGUUUGAUUAGGAUGAGUGUUGUUCUUUCAACUGUUCCAAAAGGGAGUGUAUUCUCAAUGGAUUUUUAUAUCAGUAAGUUAAGGUAUGUUUGUAAAGUAGUUGAUCAUGAAGUUUGUGAUCCCUGAAAUGCAAGAUGCCUGCGCAACUUUUAUGUUGGUACUGCAUGGUUUAUGAAAUAUGACAGUUGGAACUUCGAUUGAGAUAUGAAGCCCAAAAGCACUUUUUCAAGAUGGUUCGAAAUACGAUUCACUUCCAAAAUGCGGAUCGCAUGUGUCGGAGAUGAAUGAUUAAUAUUUGCUGUUGUAAGAAAAUCUUUCCACAUCCACUAUUAAAGUACAAAGGAAUACUGAAGAUACUCGAGACCAGACGGGUGUGGUGAAUCAUGUUCAAUCGAGUAGGUGUUACAGUGGUUUUGCAUGACAUAACAAACCCAGAUUUCUUUAACAAGGCACAAUAAUGAGUAAAGGUAUUUUUUCUUGGAAUUUUUUAUAUAGCACCAUAAAUAUGAGCAUGUUAAUAUCAGUUCUUGGAUUAUAAUUUCAAAGUCACAUCAAUUGAUCAUCAAUUUAUAUGUCUUCUUGGAUUCGUUCAAAGUGGUAUGAAAUCAGUUGUUUUGUGAAAUAACGAUGGUAAUAUUAUCAAAAGAGAGGAAUAUUUGAAUCUCUGGAUUUCUCUCAGUUAUGAUAUGGAAAUUGCACGAGACGUGAAAAUUAGGAACAAA